rnacentral:lncRNA from 1 species
AGAAAGCUAUCCUCCAACGGCUUUCAAAACCUCACCUCUCUUCAAUAUUUGUCGAUCUCCCAUUGCCCAAAGCUCAAAUCCAUUCCCCGAAAGGAAAUGCUUCCCUCGCUUUCGCUACUAUGGAUUAGGGAUUGUCCGGUGCUAAAGAAAAGGUGCAAAAGGGACGAAGGAAAACAAUGGUCCAACAUCGCCCACAUACCUGAUGUAACAAUUGAUGGUAGAUUCAUCUACGAAUGAUCAAGAGGAAGAAUCAGAGCAUGUCAACUUAGGUAUUUAAAGCCUACAACUAAUUACUAUUUUAACUGAUUUUUUUUAUGUACAAAUAUAUCUACACAAACCAUGACAUGGGCGAACAUUGAAUUUUUUUGCAUUUAAUUCUGAAAUAUUUUAGCAUGAAAUCUUGUGGUUCCUUGUUUAUUUGUUUUAGCAUGAAAAAUAGUAUUGAUAUGUUGCAAAGGAGAUAGUAAGGUAACUAAAUGCUAAUAUGUUCACUUGUUAAAAUGGAGAUGGCAGGAUUUAUAUUCUGCAUCUGAAAUUUGAGUUCCAAAAAUAUUAAAAUGUGAUUUCAAAUUCAUUUCAAGAGCAAUGGACAAGGUUGUGCAAUCCAUGGCAGAUUACUUCUAGUAUGCUAACUCAUGAUUAGUGUAGAGAUCAGAUAGUUGAAAGCUUCUCAUGUAAUUAGUUCCACCUGAAUUGAUUUUGAGCAAUUCAAGUUUAAAGUUUAACCUUUAAUAGACUCUAGCUUAGAAAACUAGCUAUGCUUUUCUUAAUGCUCCUUAUACAAAUGCUUUCUUGUGGAGAAUUCUGGUUGUUAAUGUGAGGGUUUUGGAACUUACAGAGUAUGGUUCCAUGGUUCAUAUGGAUUUCUUAAUCUGAUCUCAGUGUUUUUAAUGAAAUUCAUUGCUUUUUUCCUUGUGCUUAAUUUGAUGCAGCUUACCUACAACUUAUAUCUUGUUUCUUCAGUUUCAUAUAAUUUGGUUUGUUUUUGCAAUGAUCGUUUAUUUGAUUUUCUUUCUCACCUUCUCUGUAAUAUGAAAUCAGUUAUAAAAUUUCAACAUCCUGGAGAGCGUUUAUUUUGUGCACAAUUCAGUCUUUAAAUUAUCUUCCUCUUUUAUAAAGAGAAACAAUUUCAAAUUUUUGAAACUCAUUUUCUGUUGACCAUCAAAUGAUGUUUUGUUGACCAUCCUAUUUUCUACCAACAAAAUGUCACAAAAAUGUAGAAGUCAAUUUCUGGAAACAUAAAAUCUUAGUUGAAGCUGAAUUCAGAAUUAAAACCAAUACUUUUAUGGCAGGUUUGGUAGACAUUAAGAAUAAGCUUCGUAGCAUUAGAUUAUGAGCAGACUUGAAAUCCAUCUCUUUUCCUCUUAAUAAAUGAGGUUGCAGCUUUCACUUCUCUCUGCACGUCCUUCAAGCUACUACAAGUGAGAACAACUAUUAGAAUUUUUCUGAUUUCUGUCUCCUUUGUGCAAAUGCAUAAUUAGUGCCUUCAUUUCAUAUCACCAAAUUAUGUUCAUUGGAUUUGAGCAAAAGCAGUACAAUGACUAUAGCCAACUCACAAGAUGUUCUACCAAUUAAUGUUAUAUGUUUUUUGUUCUCUACUUCCUUAUGCCAUGUAAGCAUCACAAGUGUUUGAGAAUCAAUGUAUUAAGUUUUUUGCUACUCAACACUAACAACAGAAUGCUUUGGCCUCGUAUGACAGGAUGAACAAAACUCAUGAUUUUGUAUCUCAUUCCAAUGCCCUUAGAAUCAAUGAUAGAAAGUUUCCUAGGCAGCAUGUGAGUGUAUCAUGUUGAAAGAAAAUUAAGAUUUUGGGUUCAACUAUGAGUCUAAGUUGGAUGUGUGUGCACUAGUGGAUUUCUUGAUCCUUUCUUCCCCAAAAUAUGAGAUUAUAGAUGGGCAGUGAUGUUGAUUCAAGAAUGUCCAAUUCCAAAGAGUUGAUGGUUAGAGAGCUGUAUAGUGUAAGAAACUGUUGCUGACCGCCAAAAGUGAUUUGAUGGAGGAAUGGGUGGCUAUGGGAAAAAUGGAUUAGAAAGAGAGCAUCUUAGUUUAAAUGAACAAUUAGGCAUAGUUUCUAUGGAUAGUUCACAUUUGCUGUGAGAUUGUUUCUUCUUAGCACAUUCAUGAUGAGCUAAUUUGAAUUGACAAUGAAUGUUUAGCACGGGAAAUUGGGGAUAAUACUUGUCUUGAAACUAUUAUACUCCGGAAAUGUAGAAAUAUUAAAUAUUUACCCCAAUGACUGGACAAGCUCAGCCGUCUUCAAAAGAUUUCUUUAUGGGGUUGUCCAAAUCUUGUCCGUCUCCCAGAAGCUCUGCCCAACCUCCACCAUCUUCAAGAAUUGAUUAUAGAUGAAUGUCCAAGGGUGCAACAUUCCAUCGGAGAAAGGGGUUUCCCUACCAACCUAACUUCCCUUGAUAUCUCUGACCCCAAUAUUAGUAAGGCAGUAAUGGAGUGGGGAUUGCAUAGACUCACCUCUCUUACAGAUCUCAAUAUUGAUGGUAGUAAUUGUACCGAUGCGGUGUCGUUUCCUCAGAUGGAGACAGGAAUGAAGCUGCCCCCUUCUCUCACUUAUCUUUCUAUCGAAAAUUUCAAAAAUGUAAGAAAGCUAUCCUCCAACGGCUUUCAAAACCUCACCUGUCUUCAAUCUUUGGUGAUCUACCAUUGCCCAAAGCUCAAAUCCAUUCCCCGAAAGGAAAUGCUUCCCUCGCUUUCGCAACUAGAAAUUUGGUACUGUCCAGUGCUAAAGAAAAGGUGCAAAAGGGAUAAAGGAAAACAAUGGUCCAACAUCGCCCACAUACCUAAAGUAAGAAUUGAUGGCAGAUUCAUCUACGAAUGAUGAAGAGGAAGAAUCAGAGCAUGUCAACUUAGGUAUUUUAAUCCUACAACUAAUUACUGUUUUAACUGAUUUUUUUUAUGUACAAAUAUAUCUACACAAACAUUGAAUUUUUUAGCAUUUAAUUGUGAAAAAUUUUAGCUUUUCUUUCCCCCAUAAAUAAAUCGAACAUGUAAUCUUGUGUUUCCUUGUUUAUUUGUUUUAGCAUAAAAAAUAGCAUUGAUAUGUUGCAAAGGAGAUAGUAAGGUAACUAAAUACUAAUCUGUUAACUUAUCCGAAUGGAGAUGGCAAGAAUUAUAUUCUGCAUCUAAAAUUUGAGUUCCAAAAAUAUUAAAAUGUGAUUCAAAUUCAUUUCAAGAGAAAUCGACAAGGUUGUGCAAUCCAUGGGAGAUUACUUCAAGUAAUAUGCUAACUCAUGAUCAGUGUAGGGAUCAGAUAGUUGAAACCUUCUCAUGUAAUUAGUUCCUCCUGAAUUGAUUUUGAGCAAUUCAAGUUUCAAGUUUAACCUCUAAUGGACUCUAACUUAGAAAACUAGCUAGGUCUUUCUUAAUGCUCCUUAUACAAAUGCUUUCUUGUGGAGAAUUCUGGUUUUUAAUGUGAAGGUUUUGGAACUUACAGAGUAUUGUUCCAUGGUUCAUAUGGAUUUCUUAAUCUGAUCUCACUUUCUUUAAGGAAAUUCAUUGCUUUCUUCAUUGUGAUUAAUUUGAUGCAGCUUGCCUACAACUUAUAUCUUGUUUCUUCAGUUUCAUAUUAUUUGGUUUGUUCUUGCAAUGAUCGUUUAUUUGAUUUUCUUUCUCACCUUCUCUGUAAUAUUAAAUUAGUUAUAAAAUUUCAACAUCCUGGAGAACAUUUAUUUUGUGCACGGUUGAGUCUGGAAAUUAUCUUCCUCUUUUGUAAAAGGGAAACAAUUUCCAACUUUUAAGACUCAUUUUCCAUUGACAAUCAAAUGACCAUCCUAAUUUCUACCAACCAAAUGUCCGAAGAAUGUAGAAGUCAAUUUCUGGAAACUAAUUUUUGUAAAACAAAUAGAAUCUUAGCUCAAUUCUGAAUUAAACCCACUAUUUUUAUGGCAGGUCCAGUAGACAUUAAGAAUAAGCUUCGUAGCUUUAGAGUAUGAGAAGGCUUGAAAUCCAUCUCUUUUCUUCUUAGUAAAGAGGAUUGCACCUUUCACUUCACUCUGCGCUUCCUUGGAACUACUACAGGUGAGAACAACUGCUAGAAUUUUUCUAAUUUCUAUCUCCUUUGUGCAUAUGCAUGAUAAGUGAAUUCAUUUCAUAUCAUCAAAUUAUGUUCAUUGGAUUUGAGCAGAAGCAAUAUAAUGACUGUAACCACUUCACAAGAUGUUCUACCAUUUUUUUUUUUUAUUAGUAAUGUUCUACCAAUUAAUGUUAUAUGUUUAUUGUUCUCUGCUUCCUUAUGCCAUGUAAGCAUCACAAGUAUUUCUAAAUCACGGUAUUAAGUUUUUUGCUACUCCACACUAACAACAUAAUGCUUUGGCCUUGUAUGGCAGGAUGAACAAAACUAAUGAUUUUGCAUCUAAUUGCAAUGCCCUCAGAAUCAAUGAUGGAAAGGUUUCCAAGCAGCAUGUGAGUGUAUCAUGUAGAAAGAAAACUAAGAUUUUGGGUUCAACUAUGAUUCUCAGUUGUAUGUGUGGGCACUAGUGGAUUUCUUGAUCCUUACUUCCCAAAAAUAUGAUAUCAUAGAUGGCAGUGAUGUUGAUUCAAGAACGUCCAAUUCCAAAGACUUGAUGGCUAGAGAGCUGCAUAAUGUAAGUAAUUGUUACUGAUUGCCAAAAGUGAUUUGAUGGAGGAAUGGGUGGCUAAGGGAAAAAUGGAUUAAAGAGAGAGCAUCUUAGUUUAAAUGAGCAACCAAGCAUAGUUUCCACAGACAGUUCACGUAUUGUUUCUUCUUAGCACAUUCAUGAUGAGCUAAUUUGAAUUCAUAAUGAAAUUAUUUAAUUGUUGCCUUCUAUGCUUAGACCUAUACAACCUUGGGAUGGAUAAAGGAUUAAAUAUAUGAAUGUCAAGAGUUUAAAAUGUCAUAGAGAAAGCAGCUCAACUUUCUUCCAUUUUCUUUUUCAUUGUUGAACUUUUAUGUUUCUGUUUUUCUACUUAAGGUUUUCUUUUACUGUCAAUAUCUGUCUCAGGUUUUAAUUAGUAUGCUUUGGUUUUACUUUCACAGUCAUUCUCCUUCUUGGUGGAAAAGAUGUGAAUUGAAGACUUAUGAUCCAAUGUUGCCAAGAAGAUAGUCAGGUAACUUAAUACUGAUAUGUUGACUUAUUAGAAUGGAUAUAGUAGGAGUUAUACUCUGCAUUUGAAAUUCAAGUUCCAAAAAGUUAAAUGUGAUUUCGAAUUCAUUUCAAGAGCAAUCUGUAAAGUUCCACCAGAAUUGAUCUUGACCUAUUCGAGUGUAAAGUUUAUCCUCUAACAGUUUCUAGCUUAUAAAACUAGUUGAAAGUUUAACUUAAAUUUUAAGAGCAAUUUGUAAAAUUCUCAUAUAAAGGCUUUCUUGUUGGAAAUUUUGGUUUUUAAUGUGAAUUUUUUGGAACUCACGGAGAGUUGUUCCAUGUGUCAUAUGGAUUACUUAUUCUGAUCUCACUCUUUUAAAGAAAAUUCAACGCUUUCUUUGUUGUGAUUAAUACAAUACAGCUUCCAUAUAACCUAUAGCUUGUUCCUUUGGUUUUAUAUUGUUUGUUUUGUUCUUGAAAUUAUCUUUCUCUGAUUUUCUAUCUCACCUUUCUACAAUAUGAAAAUCAGUUAUAAAAUUCCAAUUUUCUUCCCAGAGUGGAUUUCUGCACCGUGCAUGAGCCAUGCACUCUUUUUUAGCUACUAUUCAUAGAUGACGUUCCAUGGGUGGCGAUGAUUGUUUGGAUGCUAUCUUUUCUACAAGGGAGAAAUGAUGCUUCCCACCUUCUUUCACCUUACGAUGAGAGAAAUAAUGUUUGGAGUAGUUCUUACAAAAGGGCUUUCAAAAGAUCUGCAUACAGAGGUAUGGUGGCAGUUUUUACUUUUGAAGUAUAUUUAAAAAAAAAUAAUCUUUUUGCCCCGAAAAAAUUGAAAAUAACUUUUAGUGAAAACAAUGCUUCUGUCCCCAUUGAAAUUUAUCAAAAUUUGGAAUUUAGACCAUAUGAAUAAAAAUCUCUUAAUAGUAAUAAUGCAUAGUUAAGUGAACUUUUUCUUCACAAUGGAAAGCACUAUAUAUAUCACUGCUUCAUAUCACCUUUAACACUUGAAAUAAACCUAAACGAAUGUUUCAUAAAUUUAAAUUUUACAAUUAGCUAGAUAACUUUGCCCUCAUCAAGAUAAAAUUCUGCAUUUAUCCCUGUCCUGCCUUAAAAAUGGAGAAUACUUAAUUGCCAGUCAUUCAUCUCUUUUCAAAAGGAGUGCUUUAUGUUGAUAUUAAUGAUUCAUUUAUUAAUUAUGAAUAAAAAGAAGCAUGAAAGAUCUUAGAUAAUACUUCCUAUUUUCCUCCUAUUUACUGCACCAUGUCUAUUUAAAAUUCCUCUCAAUCAUUAUUAGCAGAAUUCUUUUUUACUUUCAAACAGUUAAUUAAAGUUUUAUAAUUACAAAGUGCUUCUCAUGUCAAACGUGCAGGAAUUUGAGUGCGAGUUACGUAAGAAAGAAUGAAAUUCAAACCUUUGGACGUAAUUCAUUGACAACAAUUAAUACUAAUGGUAAGUUUUCAAAAGUCAAUUUUUGAAUGCAUGCUUGAUAGAAUAAAGCCUUCCUCCUAAUUAUCAUGAAUGUAAUUUUCACAAUUCUCUGUUUCUUUAUCUUUAAUUCUAAGCUUAGAUACUUUGAUUACCAAUUUUCAAAUAAUUUGGUGGAGCGAUGAAGAUGAUCCCAAUGCAUUAUGAAUUUGGAAGCCAGGUAACUAUAUACUAAUUUUCAUGUUUCACAAAAUAUCAAGUAAAAUAGAAGCAUCAUAAUAAUGGUCUUGUAUUCAAUAUUCAAAUUCUAAAAUUCAACAUUUCAUUGAACUAAACACUAAGGUAGUCAUGCCAUGGAUUUUGAUAAAUCUGGAGUAUUGUGGCAACCUUGGUAUAUAUUAAGAAUAAGAUUUUGAGCAUUAGAGAAUCAGCAAGCCUGAAAUCCGUCUCUUUUCUUCUUAAUGCAAAGGCUGGUGCUUUGACUUGACUCUACACUUCCUUCCAAGUAAUACAGGUGAGAACAACUACUAAAAGUUUUAUGAAUUCUAUCUCCUUUGUGCCUAUUCAUAAUUAGUGCCUUCAUUUCAUAUCACCAAAUUAUGUUAUUUGGCUCUUCAGGAAGUCUUUGUUUCUGUCAUCAUUCAUUGGAUGUGAGCAGAAGCAGCAUAAUGACUGUAGCCACUCUACAAGAUGUUCUACCAAUUAAUGUUAGAUGUUUGUAGUUCCUUGCUUGCUUAUGCCAUGUAAGCAUCACAAGUAUAUGAGAAUUACUAUAUUAAGUUUUUUGCUACUCAACACUAACAACAGAAUACUUUGGCCUUUGUAUGACAGGGAUGAACAAAACUUAUGAUUUUGUAUCUCAUUCCAAUGCCCUCAAAAUCAACGUUGGAAAGGUAGAGUAAAGUAAUAACUGACUGCCAAAAGUGAUUUGAUGGAGAAUUGUGUGGCUAAGGGAAAAAUGGAUGAGAAAGUGACCACCUUAAUUUAAAUGAACAAUGAGGCAUAGUUAUGGUGUUUUAACGACUUGAUGUGCCUCCAGUCUCCACAGACAGUUCAUACUUGGUGAGAUUGUUUCUUCUUAGCAUGUUUUAUAAGGUGAUUAUUGAUGUUAGAAAUUUAGCUUUUUAUUGAUAACUUCACGUCAUAUCGUUUACUUGUACUAGAGAAGACUUUUGUAAUCCUAUUAUUUUGAGUAGUGGAAGAAUUUGAACGGACUAUGGUCCCAUGGUUUUUCCCCUUACCAUGGGGUUUUCCACGUAAAAUCUGGUGUCUCGCUCUUGUGGGCUGUUGAUUAUUUCAUUUUUUUACAUUAAUAACCAAUUAUGAAUUACUACUUCAAUUAUCAUACAAUGUAUUUAACUUUUAUAAAGAGGGAUAAAAAUUUGGAGUUCUGGUUGUCCGGUUGUAAUGGUAGACUGUAAGGACAAUGCUUAGUGCUACCUUUUUAUCUUGGUUCUACUGAUUAACCUUGAGGAGUGAUGUCAAAGGAAUAUAUUCAAUAUGGUGGGCGUGAAGUUCUAUGAAGAGAAUUGAACAAAUGCAUUUCCACCAUUAUAGAUUCUUCAAUGCCAAGAUAUGCCAGAGUUGGAGUGGAAUUCUUACCAAGUUGAUGAGCAAAACGGGAUCUUCACUUGCCUCCAUGAUCUUUCUGUCAAGAAAUGCCCCAAAGUAUUGAGAAGUCUACCAAGUUGUCUUCCUUGCUUGGAAAAACUUGUGAUUUAUGAUAAUUGGUAAUUUUAAUUCCAAACCCUUCAAGGCUAUGUGAAUUAGAAAUUGUUGGGUGCAAAGAAGUGUGACAUGAGAGUUCUCUUUAUCUUUGCUCAUUCAAAAAAAAAGUCUCUCGAACACCCCAAAGUUUACUUAUGAUGUUAGGCUUAAUAAAAAUUAAAUUUCUUCGAAUUGGUGGUUGUCGGAGAGCUUACUUAUUUGAUGCAGAACAUCGGGGGCUGGUUAGCUUCUGCAGGUUUAGGCUUCAGCAUGUCAAGAUAUGGAGUUGCUCCAAGUUGGCCUAUCUUUAAUCAAGUGGCCGCUUACUCGUGGGGCUUACACACCUGCGGAUUGACCUUUGCCAAAUGCUGGAAUCUUUUGCACAAUUAGUUCACAGUAACACUUCUUUUGAAUUCAUUUUCAUCGGUAGGUGUGGAAAGAUCGACUACCUACCUGAUCAUGACUGCUAUUGCUAUCUGGAAGAAUAGGUACCAUUGUUUCAUUUCCUUUAUUUGGCACAAGACUUUCCACUGCCAUUCCAACAAAACCUAUGCAUUAUUGCCUACUGCCAACAGUUUCCAUUGCAAAAUCUGUAAUCGUAUUGAUACAAGGGGUUGCCUCCAUGUGACAAUCAUUAAUUUAACAAUUUCACUGAAUGACAAAAUUAUGAUCACCACAUCAACUAAAUUCAAGGUUCAACAUAAGUCAAAAGAUGUAAAAUAUAAAUAGUAGUAAGAAAUGGUAUAUAAAAGUUACUUUAGUAAACAGAAAUUUCUUGACAACUUAAUCUUAAUUUGUAAAUAACCCGUGACAUGAUACAGCCUAGGUGCAUAUAAAUAACUCGUGACAUGGUACAAAAAUUUUUUGUUUUUUUAUUUCUGUUUGUCGAUCGAAAAUCAACCCAAUAUGAAAAUAAAAGACAAUAAGAUAAAAUAACUGAAAGCCCGUGACAAAAACUUGGACUUAUCCCAAAUACAAAGCUACAAAAAAAUUUGACUUAGAGUUGGAUGUCAUCUAUUGUGUCCCCCAUGUCCCAAUUCCCCACUCUUUCCCAAAAGUUACUAAGCCAACGCAACCAAAAAGCCUAGGUGCAGAGCUCAUGGGCCACUCCCAGCCUUGAAUUGGGCACAUCGAAAAGUACUCUAUGGUUCUGUUGCUGCGUAUUAACUAUCACAUUCAACACUGAAUUCACAUUCUUUGGUGCGGAUGCCAUGGCCAAGCACGUGAUGCUGCUUGCUGUGCUAUGGAUUAGUAGGUUAUCGCGUGGCAGUGUCAUGUUCAUGCCUGCAAGCAUGAACGUUAUCGUCGGUGCCACAAUAGGGACGGUGUAACAUGUGUUGAACUCACAGAGCAGCCGAGGGAUGUCCCGUUGGCCACCUUGACUCGCCUCUGGAACUUGUCUCGGAUGGCUCUAUAGGCCGGUGCUACUAUCCGUGUAAAGAUGGCACCUAAUGUUGAAUAGCAAAGUUUAGUGACUUUUCAAUGACAAGAUAAAAUACAUUAAGGGCAGAUUUUGAAAUGAAGCUCUUUGAGUUAACAUAAACUUUAACAUAUUAUCAAACUUUUUACAAAAAAAUGAAAUUUUUUAUUUUCAUUUAUUUAGAGAUAUUAAUAUAUAUUUGCUUUUGUAUAAUAUUUUGUAAAACAAUAUUAUUAAUACUAGACCACUAUGGUUAUUUUGAAAAUAUCCAACAUAGAAUUGCCUCAAUGUAGUCGUGACUAUCUCUAAAAAGUUGUCUUUAAAUUAUUUUAUUUAUUUACAAUUUUUAUUUUGAAAAGCAAGAUGUAUAGAUUUCUUCCAUAAAAGGAAAUGAAGGAGCAGAGGUAAACAAAAAAUACCACUUGGCUCCACUGGCGAAGGGUAGUUAAGUCCGUCCCCCAAGUUUUUUAAAAUAUUUUAUCCAUUAUAUAUAUUAUUUAAUCAAAGAUGGAAGAUGGUAUAUUUAUCGAGAUCGUGGUCCUCUAAAAAUUUUAAUAUUUUAAUUCCCUUUAAAAUAAUUUUUUAUUCAAUAAUUAAUAUAAAUAAAAAAUAAUAAAAUGACGUUAUAAAUCUUACUCAAUUUUAUUUCUCUACAUAUCUUUCUCUCUCCUCUUUCUCCCUCUUUCUUUUUAUUUUUUUUCUCUUUUGUUUUUUUAUUUAUAUAUUUUUAAAAAGCAAUCAAUGAAAUUUCAUUCUUUAAUGUAUGUAUACAAAAGCUACCUCAUUUUGGUAGUAUUACAACAAAAACAUAUAGGACAUGUCCCUAAUACGAGAUAAGUUACGUAUAAUGAAACAUAACACACUUAAAACCUAGCAGUCUACUACCAUGAACAACCAAAGUUCGGAGGCAUUUCCUUUAGAAACACAUGGCUCCUGCAUAAUCUCCAUAUAGAGCUUUCUGGUUUACAAAAAAUCUCAACAAGCAUUGGGUGUUGUCCUUACUAGGCAAACUUCACUUUAACUAUACAUCAAUAUUAAAAGGAAAAUUAGUUCAAAUCAGCAACAAAAUGCAUAAAUACGAGUCUUAGUGGGUUGCACAUGUUAUGAAGUUGGAGCCAACAAACAAUAUCUUUUUAUUUUUACUUUACUCUCUUUUUUGUAAUUUACCACUAAAAUAUACUUCAUUUUUUAAACGUUGGGCACAAUUUUUUUAAAAGACUAUUAUAAAUUUUUUUUUUAUUUACAUGUUAUAGAAAAUUAUUAUCUAUUAUGAAUAUUUUGAUUGUUGGUUGACUUUUUUUUUCUUUUAAUUGAGGGAGGAGGGAUUUAAACUCUGCUCUUUAGACAAGGGGAUCAUACACCAACCAAUGAGCCAAAUGUUCGAACGAGUGCUGAUUAUUGAUUAAAUGUAAUAUAUUAAUUUUAAAAAUUUUUAACCCUUAAUCCUCUUCAUCUUUGAUCUUCCACAAAAGUUGAAUAGCGUUGUCCUGCUUGGCUCUACUGUAUACACAACCAACCCUACUAUUGUUGCGAGCAGGUAAAAAAUAUACAAAAGUUUUUGUACAAAAAUAUUGCCUGCAUUACAGUCGGCACUACCCAAAAGAAAAAGAAAAAGCUCACAACCAACUUACAGACAGCUACAAGAAGAAAGAAGAAGCAGCAUAAAUGUUACUUACAGUUUAUUUUUUAACCAUGCUAUAUUUUAUUAAAAUAACCAUGAAAUCAAUUUAUUCAGUAAAUAGAUAAAUACAUAAAUAACUAAAUAAGUAAAUAAAACAUUACUUUAUCAGUUUUAAAUAUGUGAAUAUAUUGUUAUAUUAAUUUCAAUAAAAUAUUAUAAUGAUUUUUACUAAUUUUCAUUAAUUUUAUUAAUUUUGUAAAUAUAAAAUAUUAUUAUAAAAUUAUAUUAUAUACCAAUUUAUAUCUAAUUAUCUUAAUGAUCAUUUUCCAUCUCAUGACACCCAUUAUGCACCAUUGCUUGUUGUCAAAGACAAGUCACAUCGUCGGUUUUAAUCUUAUUGGUGCAACUCCCAAUCUCAUCGUAAUGCUAUCAACCUAACCAUAUCUGUUUCUAUUUUCAUUACUAUCAAUGUUAUUCCUAUCGAUGAAAUUUUUGUUAAGUUUACAAUUUUAGUAAAAAAAUCUUAUUUUCCUUCGCUAAAUAUCAGUAGGAUAUCUAUAUUAGUAAUUUUAUGAAAUCACUACCUUGCCAACAAAAGAUCCUUAUUUACUCAAUUCUUAUCCACCAAUAACGUUUAUUUAUCAUAUAAACUUUUUUUUUGUACAAAAUUACAUGUAAAAGUAAAAUAUUUUUAAUCACAAUCAAGUUCUUAAAUUAUAAUCACAACCAGCCUAAUGAAAUUUAGCUUGCAACAAAUUGAGAAUUAAGAAGAAAGAAGUAAGGAUGGAUAAAUGAAAAAUCUUCAAUGGAGAGAAUCAAAUACAUUAGCAUUUACCCUUUAUACAAUCCAGUAGCUAGAAGCCCCCAUUUUCUUUUAUUUUAAUUUGUUAUCUCUUAAACAAUUCUUUUUAUCAGCACACAACGAGCGAAACACGAUUAAUAGAGUUGAAUCAUAAAAUUCACAGCAAAACAUUUAAAUAUUUGAUUCAAUAAUAUUUAUAUUUUUUCCCGAAUUCAGAUUGCAUUCUCCAAUUAAAAGUAUAGACUUCACAUAGAAGACUAAAAUCAAAUGCAAAAGUACUCAGUGCCCACGGUUGUACAGUCCAGGAUUUUCACCUUUCUUGGGAGGUUUAUUUUGGUUCGGGAGACAGUCAGUGUAACGUAGCCUGUCGCAAAUAACCGGGUUGUUAGGGGCAGAAGUGCCUCCAGUCCCAGUGCCAGAGCUACCAAGCACGCUACCAAUGUGGGAGUCGAACAAGAACUCCAACUCCAAGUUAUUGUGAGCAACAGGGGGGAAGAUGGAACUCCUCCAUUGAAGUAGCGGUUGCUCCAUGUUGGGUUGCAUGAAGAAGAACCAUUAGAGUGAUUAGGAUUCCUAGAGACAAAUCCUUUCCCACUACUCUAAUAACUUCCAUUUUUCUCUCUUUCUUUUUUCCUGCUCAGCCGACUCUUAGUAAAUAGCUACUACUCUCCAUCAAUCCAAGGGAAUUUCCUGUCUUAUUUAUAGAGAAAAAAGAAAAAGUUGAGGUGAACAUUAGAUGUCCAUAUACAAUUUGGAUAACACAUUUGCUGUUUUUUUUUUAAAAACAAUUAUUAUGAAUAGUAACACUUAUUAAUUUCUAAUGCUUUUUAAAAGCAUUUCUUGAGUACUAAAAAUAAAGUUAGUGAUCCCUUUGUUAAUAUUUUUUUUAACUUACCAUUGUUGUAUUCAACAGGGUCCAUAUAUAUUUGGAUUUGAAUGAGAAUCCCAUGUGAAUACACAAAAAUUCAAACCGAAUUAGACCCUGAAAGAACGACUUUCACAUGGUUGCAUGCACAAGUGUCUUUUGCUAAAGCUGACAAAAUCUCAUUCGUAAAUCUGCCUUUCUUCAGCACUGAAAACAAAAUUUAAGUUUUCACAAAAAUGAUGUAUAGACAUUUAAUUUGAGAUGAAAGAAUAUUAAUAGUGACUAUUAGGAGCAAGGAUAUGUUUUCCGCAUAUAAUGAACAUAGCAUAAUCACCUUGGGCACCCAUUUUUCCAUUAGAACCAACUCCUUACAGGUAAAGAGACUUCAUCCACAGGAAUAAGCCCAAUUGCAGUAGAAUGCAUAAUAUGUACUCCCAAAAUCUGUAUAUCAAACAAUAGAAACGAUAGCUGUUUGUUUCAGUCAAUUGAUUGUUCUAUAAAUUAAUCUCUUCAGUCAAAAGAAUUAGAUAAAUGAAUAACUUGUUCUCAAAUGAAUUAGGUAAAGAAUUACGUAAAGAAAGUGAUAGAGGAGGUUGGCUGAUGGACAGUACCAUGGAUUUCCUAUAGACCCUUUGCCAUUCAAGACUCUCGGUAAGGGAUUAUGUGGCUUCCCUUGAAGAAUAAUGAGCCGAAAUUUAACGUGGAUGGAUUUGUUAAAGGUAAAUCAGGCCCAGCUAGAUGGGGAGGAGUCCUCGGACAGCAGUAGAAAUGUCAUUGGCCUUUUAUUUUGGCCCCCUGGGUGAUAUAGACUCGAAUAGUGUGGAGACACUGGCAAUCAAAGACGCCUUACAGUUUUAAGGCUUUCAUUGAAAAAAAUUAGCAGUUAAGUACUCAAGGAUCUGUCGUUUGUCCAAGCUUAGUGACAGCCUUACAAAACCUACAAGAGGAAAAAUUUUUAAUUUCAUUGAACUUGAUAUUGUGUUUUCAAUUCUAUUAUUUUUUGACAAACAAUACAAAAAAUUAACAACAUUAUUUAUUAUUUGUAUUUAUGAAAUAUUUUAUUGAAUAUUUCAAUUUUGUUGAUUUUUAUAAAUUUUAUCAAUUUUUGUUAAAAAAUCAACAAAAUUAAACAUAUAGUAACAAAAUUCAACAUAACCUAAUAUAAUAACAAAUUUGAUCAUACUCCCACAGAAGCACAAGUAAUGAAAUGAAAUUUAUCAUAUAAAUUUUGUUUACCAACAUACAUGUAAAGAUAAAAAUUAUAUUCACAAUCAUGUAUUACAUUUCAUAUAAUUACAAAUUAAUAAAAUAAAUCAAAUAGACAAAUCAACCAACAAACUAGUAUAAAUCAGAUAUAUUCAAUAUAAAAUUGUAUUAUACCUGCUAAUGAUGAGAUUUGAACUUGAAAUAUCAACAGUCUAAUUAAGGUCUCGUAGUUGUCAUUAAGUUAAUGUCUCAUUAUUUCAGCUAAGCAAAGCAAUGAAUAUUUAGUUCUCUAUCAUUCUCCAGUCACAACUUCACCAAUGCGAUAGCCUGUAUAAGCACCAUUUCCAUCCUCAAGUAUUCUAUGAGAUGUGUCCCUGACUCAUAACGAGAACCAUGCCAAUGCCCAUGUUAAAACUCCAUCUCAUCUUAGUAUCUUCAAUUUUUCCAGCCUGUUGGUAUCCAUUAGAACACAGCUGGCAGUUCCCAAGAAUCCUUAUAGAGAGAAGCACCAUGGUCUUUUGGAAACACUCGAGGUAUAUUGUCUGUGAAAGCCACCACCUGUUCUAUGAUAUAUGCUAUUCUCUUUUCCCCUCCUUUGCUAAUUAAAUCUAGCAUCAGCUUAACAUCAGUAAUAAAAAAUUUCAAGACUUCUGAUUACCUUCAGUUUAGGUGUGUGGAUCAUAUUGAUAGGGGUUGCCUCCAUGUGACAAAUCAUUAAUCUAACAAUUUAAACAAUUACAAAAUUAUGAUCGCCACAUCAACCAAAUUCAAAGUUCAACAUAGAUCGAAGGAUGUAAAAUAUAUAAAUAGUAGUAGGAAAACGUACAUAAAAAUUUCUUGACAACUUAGUCUUAAUUUGCAAAUGAUGCGUAACAUGGUACAACCUAAUAAACUAAUCAUCAAUCCAAUAUGAGAAAAGAAGACAUAAGACCAGAUAAUAGAAAACCCGUGACAUAGACUUAGAUUUACCCCAAAUACAAAACUACAAAAAUGAAAAAUUGACUUAGAUUUGGAAGUCAUGUAUUCUGUCCCUCAUGUCCCAAUUCCCCACUCUUUCCCAAAAGUUACUAGGAGAAUGCAACCAAAAAGUGAAGUUGCAAAGCUCAGGGACCACUCCCAGCCUCGAAUUAGGGACAUCGAAAAGUACCCUAUGGUUCUGCUGCUGCAUAUUGGUUAUCAUAUUCAAUACUGAAUUCACAUUAUCUGGCACAGAUGCCAUGGCCAAGCAUGUGAUGCUGCCUACCGUGCUGUGGCAGUGUCACGUUCAUGCCCGCAAAACAUGAAUGUUAUCGUCGGUGCCACGAUAAGGAGGUUGUACUUGAAUUCUUAUCUUUUGGCUUUACUUUCUAAAAAAGCAGCAUUCUCUUUAUCAUAUUCUUUGAAGACUUUUGACUAAGGAUAGCAAAAAGACAAUACAUCUCUCUUUCUUACUAUAGUAAGUUGAUAAUAAGUUUGUACGAUUUCGUUGAAUUUUCUACAUAUUUUAUCAUGACUCUAUGCUUUGCAAAGAGAGUAUUAAUUAAGCCUUAAAAGCAAAGAAAUGAAUAUUUAUUUUCAUUUUCAAAUGCUGGAUUCCAUUGCAUAUUCAGUUCACAAUAACAAUUGCCUUGAAUUCAUUUUCAUUGGCAGGAGUGGGAAGAUUAUGUUCCUGAUCAUGACUGGUAUUGCUAUCUAGAAAAAUAGGUACCAUUGUUUCAUUUCCUUAAUUAGGCACAAGACUCUUUCCACUGCCACAAAACCUAUGAUUAUUACCAGGCGCCAACCGUUUCCAUUGCAAAAUCUUUAAUUAUAUUGAUAGGGGUUGCCUCCAUGCAACAAACAUUAAUCUAACAAUUUAACCAAUAAUAAAAUUAUGAUCACCAGUACAUCAACCAAAUUCAAGGUUCAAUGCCAACCUCGAAUUGUGACGUAGAUUAUGUUAGCAGAUGACAAGUAAAUUUAGUGCUUUUCUUAUGUAGUUAGGAGUCCUAUCAGAAAUUAUAGGUAUAAUAAAAUUUACUUUUUAUUUUAAUUUACUUGGACGAUAAGUAAGCAUAGGUUUAGGAAUUAAGUUUUCUUGCACUUUAAGGAAGUCUAGGGUAUAAUAUUAUUUUAUUUAAAUUUGUUUAUUUGCAUUCCAAGUUUAGGUCAAGUAGGAUUAGGUUAUUAUAAAUAGCACCUUUAGACUUAGUUAUUAGAUAAUUUUUUUUGAAUUAUUAAAUAACAUUAUAUUUUUUCUCAAAUUUUGAGUGUAAGUUUCUAUGUUUGAAACUUGGUUAUCAACUAUAAAGACUCUAUCCAGUGUUAGUCUUUGUUUUCACGUUAACUUACUAUAGCAAAUUGUGCACAUCAAAAAGUACCUUAUGGUUUUAUUGCUAUAUAUUGGCUAUCACAUUUAGCACUGAAUUCACAUUCUCUGUUGCGGAUGCCAUGGCCAAGCAUGGGACGCAGCUUAACAAAGUUUAGUGACUUUUCAAUCACAUAGUAUAUUGGAUGUUGUUUAAGGGAAAAUUUUGAAAUGGAGUUCUUUAAGUAAAGUUCUUUGAAUCUCCAACUUAAAAUAAUUAAAAAUUAAUUAUAGUUUAACCCCAAACUCCCUAACCUCCAACCGACGACAUUUUUUUUUGUUGUUUGUUUUUUUUCUUUUUCUUUGUGGUUGUUCUCGGUUGCUAGAGGAUCUAGGGUAUUUUCUUUGGUUUUUGUUGUGGCUAGGUAUUUUUUGGUUGCUGGUUCUUGCUAGGGAUUUUAGGGUUUUCGAUUGCUUCGUCCCUUUCCUUGUAGCUACAGUGUUCCUUUAUAUAUCGGCUCUCAAUCGGGUGUAUCGUCUCCACUACCUUGCCAGAUGCGAGUUUUUGACGUUUGGCACUGAUGGUGGUGCCUAACAAGGUGCGUCCGCACCCUGCCAGACGUACGUCUUUCUCUUUUUUUUUUCUUUUUUCAUUUUAUUUCAUCAUUUUUUGUUUCAUUUUCAUUUUUCAUUUUUUCAUUCAUUUUUUUAUUUUGUUUUUUUUGUAUCUUAUUUGUUGUUUUUUUUUCUUAUUAUUUAUUUUUUUGUCUGUCUAAGUAAUUACCUAUAAAAUUAAAGUGUCUACAGAAGGGAGCAGGAAAUCUCUUUGUGAGAGAACACAAGCCAUAGAACAAAGAACUCAAAAGACAGAGGAUAUUGGCCAUAUAUGCCUCCCUUAUGAACUGGGCAUAUUUUAGCAAUAACCCCUGAAAUGAAGCCAAUAUCGGGCAUUCAAAAGGAGCUUCCCUGCCUCAAAAGAACAAAAGCAUCACCAAGAAUAGUCCACCCAGUCCUAGUACACUACUAGUUAGUAGCUGAGCAAAAAAAAAAAAAAAAAAAAAAGUACUAGUAGUUAGUAGUAAAACUACUAGUAACGAGUAAUGUCCUCAUUAUUUAAUAUGGUUUAUCAAUUCUUCAACAAUUCAGUUUUAUCGAUUUUUUUAUUUUCUAUUUUUUAUCUUCUAAUAUCAACUUAAAUGUAAAAUUGUGAUGCAUCUUUUGAUGAUUGAGUUAGUGGAUUGUUGAAGACUAUACUUGGAUCAUAUUGAUAGAAAAAAAAAAGUAAAUUUGACUUAAAAUUAAUAUGAAAUAUAGAAAAAAUAAUAAGACUGGUAUAAAUAUUCAAAAAAGAAAAGUUGACAUAAUUUUGUAAUGAUUUUAAAAAAGUGGAUAUUCAAUUUGAAAUAGAAAAAGUAUAUAUUAUUACAUCAAUUAUUAGUUUAAUAAUUUAUUUUCACUCAAUAAGUAGAUAAAAUUUGAAGUCAAGAUGAUAUUUAUAUUGCAUCGAUCAAGAACACUUAUUGUUUGUUACAUAUAUACAUAUGUUUAAUUGAAAUUCUUUUCUACACAUCAUUGAAACAAUAUUUGGCCACUUGCAAUUAAUUUAAAAUUUAGAAAUGUUAUUUAUUUAUUUCUCAGUAUCAUGUCUACCUUAAAUAUGUUAACUCAUCACAAUACUUUUUACAAUCAUACCAAUCAUUUUAAAUUACAUUUCUACACAUUAAUUACAUUUUAAAUUCAACAAUAUGAUGUUAGUCACGUUUCUUGGUUCUUUCCUACUAUCGAUUAUUUGUUGAAUAGUCCAUCCGGAUAUCUUGAAUCUCAUUAUUUUUUUUCGAAAUAAUAAUUAUAAGUAAAAGAAUUUCAAUUACAAUCAACAUGUAUCACAUUCCAUCUGUGAAAAGAAUUAAUAAAUGCACCAACAUAUUAACUUAAAAGUUUUAAUUUUUUUUUUNNNNNNNNNNNNNNNNNNNNNNNNNNNNNNNNNNNNNNNNNNNNNNNNNNNNNNNNNNNNNNNNNNNNNNNNNNNNNNNNNNNNNNNNNNNNNNNNNNNNNNNNNNNNNNNNNNNNNNNNNNNNNNNNNNNNNNNNNNNNNNNNNNNNNNNNNNNNNNNNNNNNNNNNNNNNNNNNNNNNNNNNNNNNNNNNNNNNNNNNNNNNNNNNNNNNNNNNNNNNNNNNNNNNNNNNNNNNNNNNNNNNNNNNNNNNNNNNNNNNNNNNNNNNNNNNNNNNNNNNNNNNNNNNNNNNNNNNNNNNNNNNNNNNNNNNNNNNNNNNNNNNNNNNNNNNNNNNNNNNNNNNNNNNNNNNNNNNNNNNNNNNNNNNNNNNNNNNNNNNNNNNNNNNNNNNNNNNNNNNNNNNNNNNNNNNNNNNNNNNNNNNNNNNNNNNNNNNNNNNNNNNNNNNNNNNNNNNNNNNNNNNNNNNNNNNNNNNNNNNNNNNNNNNNNNNNNNNNNNNNNNNNNNNNNNNNNNNNNNNNNNNNNNNNNNNNNNNNNNNNNNNNNNNNNNNNNNNNNNNNNNNNNNNNNNNNNNNNNNNNNNNNNNNNNNNNNNNNNNNNNNNNNNNNNNNNNNNNNNNNNNNNNNNNNNNNNNNNNNNNNNNNNNNNAAAUAUAAUUAAAAUUAUAAAGACUUAAUUGAUAUUUUUUAUACAUACAAGUAAUAAUGAUAAAUAAAAAUAAUUUUUUUGGAUUUUUUUAUUGUUAUGUAAAUAAAAUUAAUUAUGAUCUUCUAUUUAUGAAUAAUUAAUUUUACACUUUUAAAUAUCUUUAUUUUAUAUGUAAUUAAUAUUUAAAAAUAGAUAAAAAAUAUUCAAAUAAAUAAAAAAGACGAGAUGGGUAAAAAAGCAUGUAGGACCAUUCAAUAAAUUUGGAGAGCAACGUACAGCUACUGCCCUUUACCAACCCCACUUCAACAGUAUGUUGGUCUGAGUUUCUUGGUUGUUUCCUGCGAUCCACACAUCUUGACUUGACGUCAACUCCAAAACAAUAUUCUUUUCUAAUUAAAUUCCAAGUAAAAUUUUAAUUAUAGUCAAAUAAUUUUCACAUAUCACAUAUUACAUCCAUAAAAAUAUUAAUAAGCAAGCCAAUUAAUAAGUAUAAAAUUUUUAGUUUAAUACAUUAUGCAUCUAAAUGUUUAAUUUAAUAGUAAUGCAUGUCUCUGUUAUGAAAGAGCAGAGUUUAAUUUUUUUUUUGGUAUUAUUGAUAUGAAACAAGAUUUAUCUAAUUUGUAAAUAAAAAUUUUAAUUAUGUUGAAUGAUUUUCAUUAAUUUUUUAAUAAAUUUAUAUUAUAAAAUCAGUUAUAUAGAAUUGAAAAGUUAAUUUUCUUCUUAUAUGUAAUUAUUAUUUGAAAAUAAAUAUUCACACGCGAGAAUAAAUAACAACAAGUGUAAAUAUUAUAUUAUUGGAAAGGGUUGAUGGGAAUGCACAAAAAACUUUCCAACCAAAUUAGGCCCAAAGAAAAGCACAACGCUUGACAUGACUUGACUUGCUCAGCUUGUCUAGAAACUGGUAACUCUUCACAACCACAUUAAUUCCCUAUGAUUUUUUCUGUAAUUCGUAUCAUCACCCAACCUCAAAAAUCUAGCAACCGAAUUAGAUCCAGAAACAGUUUCCACAAUCCAUUUUUCUUCUAGUCCAAUAUCCUUCUCUUGGAUUUUCUCUCUACUUCAAGUCUCUUGAUUCCUUUCUCAAACAUAUUGACCAUGGCUUUCGUUGCAGAGGCUGCUCUCUCUGCUUCCUUUGACUUGUUGUUGGCCAAGAUUUCCUCUUCCGACUUCAACUUUGUCACUGAGAAGCGGGUUCGCGAGGAGAUUGAGAACUGGAAAAAGACAUUGGAGAUCAUCCACGCAGUCCUUGCUGAUGCAGAGGAGAAGAAAAUGAAGAACAAGGCUGUGAAGAUUUGGCUGGCUGACCUCCAAGACUUGGCUUAUGACGUCGAUGACAUCUUGGACGAGUUUGCCACUGAAGCUUUGGGGCGUAAGUUGAUGAAAGCACAUCGGGCCAGCACUAGUAAGGCACAAAAAUAUCUUACUAGUUUAAAUCCACGUUCCAUCAUGUUUAACUCUAAGAUGAUGUCCAAGAUCAAAGAGAUUACAGGAAGGUUGGAAGAUUUAGCAACAAGAAAGAUUAACCUGCAACUAGAGAAAUAUGUUGGAAGGCCCAUGACAAUACCAAAAAGCAAGCCAAGCACUUCUCUGGUGAAUGAAGCUACUGUACAAGGCAGAGACAAAGACAAGAAGGCAAUAAUUGAUCUGCUUUUGAGGAAGGAUGGCAAUGAUGCUGGAGUUUCUGUGAUUCCCAUCACCGGCAUGGGAGGGAUAGGCAAGACAACCCUUGCUCAGCUUGUCUACAAUGACAGUAGCAUAGGAGAUUAUUUUGAUCUCAAAGCAUGGGUAUGUGUUUCUAAUGAAUUUGAUGUUAUUAAGAUAACGAAAACAAUUCUAGAAUCGGUCACUUUCCAGUAUUGUGAUAUACAUGACUUGAAUUUACUUCAAGUCAAACUAAAGGAAAAGCUAUCGAGCAAGAAAUUCUUGCUUGUUUUGGAUGAUGUUUGGAAUGAGAAUUAUGAUGAUUGGACAAAGCUUCGAUCUCCUUUUGAUGCCGGGAUUACUGGAAGCAAAAUAAUCGUAACAACACGUAAUUCUAAUGUUUCAUCAAUUAUGAGAACUGUUGCAGACCACUCAUUGCAAAUUUUAUCAGAUAAUGAUUCUCUCUGUAUGCUUGCUCAUCAUGCAUUAGAAAGAGGGGAUUUUACUGGGCAUCUAGACCUGAAAGAGAUCGGCAUGGAGAUUGUGAAGAAAUGUGGUGGCUUGCCUUUGGCCAUUAAAACUAUCGGAGGACUAUUGCGCACUAAGGUGAAUCAUGAUGCAUGGAACUACAUAUUAAAGAGUGAUAUUUGGAAUCUACCUGAAGAGAAAAGUGACAUAACUCCAGCUUUAUGGUUGAGUUACUAUUAUCUUCCUUCGCAAUUAAAGCAGUGUUUUGCAUAUUGCUCUCUAGUCCCUAAAGAUUAUGAAUUUAAAGAGGAGGAAAUAGUCUUGUUAUGGAUGGCAGAAGGUUUUCUAAAUGGAGCAAACACUAAAAGGAAUAUUCAAGAUUUGGGUAGCAAGUAUUUUGAAGAACUAGUAUCAAGGUCAUUUUUUCAAGCAUCUAACAAGAAUGAAUCCCAAUUUGUAAUGCAUGACCUAAUUAAUGAUCUAGCUCAGUUCGUUGCAGGAGAAGUAUAUUUUAAAAGGGAAAGGCAUGAUGAUAUGAACGGUCCAAUUAAUCGCACUCGCCAUUCCUCUUAUAUCAUUGGUAGUUAUGACGGAAUCCAAAAGUUUGAGACCUUUUUUGAAGCAAAGUCUCUACGAACCUACCUGCCCUUUAAGAUGAUGCAGCAAUGGAGAUGCUACUUGAGCAAUAACGUUCUCAAUGAUUUACUGCCGGCAUUAAAAUGCUUAAGGGUGCUCUCUUUGAAAAGGUACUACAUCACAGAAAUUCCUUCUUCUAUUGGAAAUUUGAAGCAUUUACGCUAUCUAAAUUUCUCUUAUACCAAAAUAAAAAGUCUCCCUGAUUCAAUAUGUAGUCUUUAUAAUUUGGAGACUCUUUUGUUGAGGUAUUGUGAGAAUUUUGAAAAACUACCCCUAAAAAUAGGGAUUUUAGACAACUUAUGUCAUCUUGAUAUGACUGAUGCAAAUUUAAUAAAGGAAAUGCCAAGUGGAAUUGGAAAAUUAACAAAUCUUCAAGUGUUGUCUAAUUUUAUUGUGGGUCAAGGUGAUGGAUUGAAUAUAAGAGAGAUGCAGAAUUUGUUAAAUCUCAAAGGUCAGCUUUGUAUUUCUGAAUUGCAUAAUGUGGAUGAAGCUCAACAUGCAUGGGAAGCUAAGCUAUCUAGUAAGUGUGACCUUGAUAACUUAGAGUUGAAGUGGAGUGCAGAUUUCAAUGAAAAUCUUAGAAAGAAAGAAGUUGAGAAAGAAGUGUUGAACUCGCUUCAACCUCAUAAAGAUAUUAAAGAGCUUGCCAUCAAGUAUUAUGGUGGAAUAGAGUUCCCGGAUUGGGUGGAAGAUGAUUCAUUCAUAUAUUUGCAAGUUUUAAGACUUGAAUAUUGUGAAAAUUGCACAUUCUUACCAGGAGUUGGAAAAUUACCACUUUUAAAACAUCUUUAUGUCAAGGGGAUGAGAAGUGUGAUUAGUGUUGGCAAUGAGUUUCAUGGAGUGAAUGGGCCAAAUGUAUUUCCAUCAUUAGAGACCUUGUACUUUGAAGAUAUGCCAGAAUGGAAAGAAUGGAAACUUUAUGAAGUUGACGAACAAGGUAAGCAAUUUUGUUGCCUUCGAGAACUCUUUAUUGAAAAUUGUCCAAAAUUAGAAAAAACUUUGCCUGAUCAGCUUUAUUCUUUGGAGAAACUUGUAAUUCGUAAGUGCCAAGAAUUGGUAGUUUCAGUUUCGAAUCUUCCGAUGCUAUGUGAACUUGAUAUUUAUGGAUGCAAAGAAGUAGUGCUUGGGAGUUAUGAUGAUCUAUGGUCAGUUAAAAAAAUCAGUCUUUCAAACAUUUCAAAGUUUGCAUGUGUAACAAAAGAAAUGAAGAUGGUAGAGUCGAUGAAAGUAGAAGUUCUCGAAAUUAAUAGUUGUGAGGAGCUGACGUCUUUGUGGCAAACAAAGUGGGGGUGGUUGGCGCCUUUGAGAUCUCUUCGUACUUUAAAGUUUGAAAAUUGUACGCAAGUUGUGUGUAUAGGAGGAGGGGCAAAGGAGGAGGCAAAAGAAGAGCUUUUGCAAUUAGAAAUACCGUGCAACAUUGAAUUUGUGAGAUUAGCAUAUUAUCAAGGGUUAGAGAGAUUAUCGAAGACCUUUCACAACCUUACAUGUCUUACACUGUUAUGGAUUGAAAAGUGCCCGAAAUUGGUUUCACUUUCAACGGACAACUUGCCUCCAACUCUUAGGACUUUGAUCAUUUGGAGUUGUGAGAAUUUGGAAUGUUUACUGGAUGACAAGGAGAAUAUCAAUUUCAGUAGCACAUCUCUUCUUCAAUCUCUUGAUAUUAGAGACUGUAAAGCUCUAAAAUCAUUAUCAUGGAGUGGUAAGUUACCCGUGCAACUUAAGAGGUUGCUUAUUUCGGGCUGUCCAGAGCUUGAAUGUUUAGCACGGGAAAUUGGGGAUAAUACUUGUCUUGAAUCUAUUGAACUCUCCAAUUGUGGUAAUAUUACAUAUUUACCCCAAGGACUGGACAAGCUCAGCCGUCUUCAAGAGAUUUCUUUAAGGGGUUGUCUAAAUCUUGUCCGUCUCCCAGAAGCUCUGCCCAACCUCCACCAUCUUCAAGAAUUGAUUAUAGAUGAAUGUCCAAGGGUGCAAAAUUCCAUCGGAGAAAGGGGUUUCCCUACCAACCUAACUUCCCUUUCGAUUAUUGAACCCAAUAUUAGUAAGGCAGUAAUGGAAUGGGGAUUGCAUAGACUCACCUCUCUUACAUAUCUUAACAUUGAUGGUAGUAAUUGCACAGAUGCGACGUCGUUUCCUCAGGAGGAGAUAGGAAUGAAGCUGCCCCCUUCUCUCACCAAUCUUACUCUCAGAAAUUUCAAAAAUGUAAGAAAGCUAUCCUCCAACGGCUUUCAAAACCUCACCUCUCUUCAAUCUUUGUGGAUCAUCAAUUGCCCAAAGCUCAAAUCCAUUCCCCGAAAGGAAAUGCUUCCCUCGCUUUUGCGACUUUAUAUUUGGGAAUGUCCGGUGCUAAAGAAAAGGUGCAAAAGGGACGAAGGAAAACAAUGGUCCAACAUCGCCCACAUACCUUUCGUAACAAUUGAUGGUAGAUUCAUCUACGAAUGAUCAAGAGGAAGAAUUAAAGCAUGUCGACUCAGG